rnacentral:lncRNA from 1 species
AGAUAGUGGAGUGAAGUGCAAAAUUACGAUAUUUUGCACCGAGGUAAGUAAACACGUGACUUGAUGUAUUAUUUUGACAUUAAUUGAUAUAUGUUGAGAUUUAUUUGGAAUUAAAAUAAAUGUUUGGCCAUAUCCUAAAAAUGUUGUUAAAUCGGGAAAGGUGGUAAAGGGUUGCAAUAUAUGAUUUAUGGGUUGAACACUCGGAAUAAGCCGAAGUAUGUUGUACAUAAAGGGGUUGCUGUGUGCUGAUUCCCCGAUUCAUUGGUGGUGCUAUGUGCGAUAUCCACCGUAUCUUUGAAAUGUGAAAGGGGGUUGCUAUGUGCUGAUUCCCCCGAGGGGUUGCUAAGUGCUGAUUCCCCGGUUCAUUGGUGGUGCUAAGUGCGAUAUACACCGUAUCUCUGAAAUAAAAAGGGGGUUGCUAUGUGCUGAUUCCCCCAAGGGGUUGCUAAGUGCUGAUUCCCCGAUUAAGUGGUGGUGCUAAGUGCGAGAUCCACCAAUAACGGUCAACAUUCCGAGUGCUCAACGAAAAAGUGUGGAAGGUGAAUAUUGCCAUAUGGUGGAAAUUUUUAUGGGGCAAAUAUUGAGUUGGAUACUAAAUCGAUCCAUGUAUGAGAUGGGAGAAAAUAUCAAAAACGAAAAAAGGAACGAUUUAGUUAUAAACUGUGUUGAACAACAGCAGAUGGGUAACUUUGAAAAAUCACCAUAAAUGGUGGAAAAUGAAUGGGAAGCUGAAUAAUAUAUGAAAUUGAAGCUGAAUGUGUCUAUUUUCAUAUGAAAUAAAUAGAAUAAGCAAAAGAGUUGUAUUUUUCGAGAUAUCUGAAUUUUACUGAAACAGGGCUGGAUUGAUUUCGGGAUCCCCUGUUCUAACUUUGGAAAAUCACCAAAAAUUGUACAAAAAUAAUUAUGGUGUGAAAUUUAUAUUCCUGGAUUCCUUAUUGACUCUAUUUUUAAUAGAAACAAGCGAAACCAUUUUUAAAAUUUUUUACAGAGAGUUAAGUGAAUUUUUUUGAGGAAGGGUCAGAACCAUUGGCAGUGAAACAGGGGAAGUUUUAAUGAAUAAACUGUACUAAUUGGCUGGGUAAAAAAUUCUGAAAUUUUUAUGGUGAAAUGGUAUAUGAGUCUAGUUUCAGGGAAAAUUUACGAAACUCAAUUUGGAGCCCUGUAGCUCCGGAUAAAAAUAAAUUAUCGACUAUGACGCAGAAAAAUAGUUUGCUGGAAAUUGCCUAAACAAUGAAGUUAUUCAUGAAUAAGUUUAUAUUUUGGUGUAGUUAUGUGAGUAAUUACUUAUUUAUCAUGUGUUUACUUACUAAGCUAUAUGCUUACUCGAUUUUAUUUUUCCCUUGAUUAUAGUGACUUCCGACAACUCGGAAAUUUGGAACGAAGUCAGACAAUCAUCCACACUAUCCUUCACACUUGGGGUAUUUUGCUACUAUCGUUCCGGAAAAUUAUGGCAUGUAUAGACGACCUAUGAAAUAUGGAAUCAUCAUGUAAAUAUAUGUUAUGGUUUGAUUUAAAAUGUGGUGUUCAUUAAUAGUUAAAUUGUGAGUAUUAUUAUAAAUGAGUUUGGUUGAUAUAUAUAUUGGAUUGUGAUUUAAAUUUGCAGGAGGUUUAAGCAAAAUUAAGCAGAAAUGCUGUCGAAUUUUUUUUUAAAAAACUUAGUAAUACCUCAUACUCUGUUCCGAGCCGGAAUACGAGUAAGGGGUGUUACAGUGUGGGCAGGGUGGAUAUCUUUUUUCACCAUCUGAUCUAGGCUUGCUUGACCAGGAUUCCUUUCCUUUGUAUGCAGAGGAGCUCGAGGCUGGUCUGCUUUUGGCUUGGAAGGCACCUUCUUGAUGCUCCUUCAGUAUGCUGGCUCUCCUUUGCUCUUGAGCAUAAAGAGCAUUGAUCAGCUCUGUCAAAGGUAUAGCUGAUAGGUCCCUCGAAUCUUCCAAAGAAGAAAUUUUUUAUUCAUACUUCUCUAGAAGAGUUGUAAUGACCUUUUCAACUAUCCUCUUGUCACUAAAAUCAUCUCCAAGCAAUAUUAUGUUGUUGACUAUGACCAUGAUUCUGUCAGCAUACUGCUUGAUGGUUUCAGACUCCUUGAUCCUUAGAUUCUCGAAGUCCCUUCUCAAGUUUAUCAAUUGUUGCUGCCUAGUCUUGUCUGACCCCUAAAACUCCUCUUUGAGUUUGUCCCAGGCCUACUUUGGAGAGUCACAAACCAUUAUCAUUGUGAAAAUGACAUCUGGAACUCCAUUCUGAAGGCACGAGAUGGCCUUGUACUUCUUGGCAAUGUCCUCACUAUGCUGCCUGAUUUGAGCUAUGGUCGAAUUAGCUCUCAAGGGUGGUGACUAUGUGUCAUUUAGAAUAACAUUCCAUAGGUCAUGUGCCUGCAGAUAUGUCUUCAUUUUCACAGCCCAAAUGUUGUAAUUUUCACCAGCAAAAACAGGUGAUCUUUACAGCAACCAAACAAACCAACAAAAAAUAGCUCCUGCUUCUUUUCUUUCAAACACGAUUCACUCACAAACAAAGCACAACCAAGGUCUUCAAAGACAAUAGGCUCUUGAUACCAUUUGAUGGGUUUUUGAUCAUAAAACAAAAAACAAAAGAACUAAAAUUUGUGUUGAAAGAUGAAAAAUAGAAGCAAAAUUUAGAUGUUGAAGGAGAAACAAAAUUUGACUUCUCUUUCACAUCUUUGUUAAGAAAAAAUACAUAUAUAAAGCUAUUACAUUGGAAAGGCAAUAAAUUUUUGCUUAAAAGAAACUUGCACAAAAACACCUCAAUAGUAACCUAGGGACUGUCUAAAGCUGCUUAGGUUGACUAAACUUUAUCCGGUCAAAAAGUUGUCAGAUCAAAUACAGGUCGCCUGUUACACAAAAAUACUUUAUCUGAAUAACAUCAGGUACAUUUGUAUGCUACUGUAUUUCAUCCGGACAACAUAUAGCAGCUUGACCUUUUACGAGUUGCAUGCACUUCAUCCGCAUGACUUGCGCUACAUGGUCUGCUCCUUAGCUGUUUCAUGUGCUGCAUGCAGGUUAACUUCAACACAUAUGUUGGGAACAGCGCCAGAAAACC